GGUAUUCCGAGGAGCAUGCCUGUUUGAGUGUCAUGGUA
rnacentral:rRNA from 1 species